rnacentral:rRNA from 1 species
GACGAAUGCUGGCUGCGUGCUUAACACAUGCAAGUCGAACGGUGAAGGGGAGCUUGCUCCCCGGAUCAGUGGCGAACGGGUGAGUAACACGUGGGCAACCUGCCCCUCACUCUGGGAUAACUCCGGGAAACCGGGGCUAAUACCGGAUACGACCGGGAGCGACAUCGCUCCUGGUGGAAAGAACGUCGGUGAGGGAUGGGCCCGCGGCCUAUCAGCUAGUUGGUGGGGUAACGGCCCACAAAGGCGACGACGGGUAGCCGGUCUGGGAGGGCGACCGGCCACACUGGGACUGGGACACGACCCAGACUCCUACGGGAGGCAGCGGUGGGGAAUCUUGCGCAAUGGGGGAAAGCCGGACGCAGCGACGGAGCGUGAGGGACGAAGGCCUUCGGGUUGUAAACCUCUUUCAGCGGGGACGAAGCGAAAGUGACGGUACCCGCAGAAGAAGCACCGGCUAACUACGUGCCAGCCGCCGCCGUAACAC